rnacentral:tRNA from 1 species
CUAGGCCAAGAUCCAGUCACCUUAGGUCGAUCGGUACCUCAAAUUAAUAUCCAAAAUAAUGAAAAAUAUUUCUUUAAAUUGGUGAUUAAUCUCAGUUCCUAAACUUUGUCUAGGUCACACCCAACAAGUGUACUCCUGGGCCAUUAGCUCAGGUGGUUAGAGCGCACCCCUGAUAAGGGUGAGGUCCCUGGUUCAAGUCCAGGAUGGCCCAUUCGGUGUUGGGGGUAUAGCUCAGUUGGUAGAGCGCCUGCUUUGCAAGCAGGAUGUCAGCGGUUCGAGUCCGCUUACCUCCACUGAUAACUACCUGAAAAACCAACUUGAAGGAGAUACACUGAUCUGAUGGUGACUUAGAGAUUGUUCAUCUGAAAUGAACCUAGCUUCCUAUCAUUUUGAUAUUUAAAUAUCAAAUAAAACUUUGAUAAGACGCUGGGCUCAAUGCAAUUAAACUUAAUUGCAGAGAACUUCAGCAGAACCUUGACAACUGCAUAGGAAAGUCUGGAAAGAAUAAAAAGCAUCUCAUAGAUGCAUUUUUCUGGAUAUCAUUUUUACCGAUAAAAUUUAUUUUUUCUGUAAUUUUGAUUUCAUAGAUUAAUGUUUAAUUCUUGAGUAAGAGCCGAGAAAAAUAGACCAGUUUGAUAACAAUUUUUUGCUAUCAAAUUUUUUCUAUUGAUUUUUGGUCAAGCUACAA